CCAAGCAUUUGAAUAAGGAGCUGGGUGAAUUUAUAAUCGACGGUGGUGAGAUAAGCCUGGCGUUGAUAAAUGGAGAGAGACGAAAACCAUUUGAGGAUAGAGGACCUGGGAUUGGGAUUGGGAUUGGGAUCAGUAUCAGAAUUUUUUAGAUCCAGAAGGGCUGCCAUCGAGCCAUCUCCCAGCCUCACCCUAUGAAACUUUGAGGUUUUCUUUCGAUGCUUAUUUCCAGAUCCCCCUUCCUUCACAUUCUGAUUAGAUAUAGUCCCAGCAGAUGUGGAAUCAUCCUGGUUACUGAACUCCACUUGUUUCUCAUCGCCCAUUAAAUAUGCCAUUCCUUUAGCUGACCGAUAUCCAUCCUUUAAUAGCACCUCCACCUCAUCUUCUGUAGGCUUGUAAUGUGACUGCAUUGUUCGAACAGUGCUUAUAAUGUCAUCUGCCAAUCUAUCCUUCGAACUACUACCUUCACCAUCCAUCUCUUUGCCUUUCUUUGAGCUGGUACUAGUUUUCAAAUUGCCACUACCACGGCCCUGACCAUUCUCUUGAGCACCAUUACCUCUCAAACUAGCAUUGUAGGUGUCAACUAGUUCUUUUUGCUUCUGAAAAUCAGGGCAAAGUCUAGCCAACUGAAGAACAAGAUGUGACAAGCCAUAUUGCCGUACAUAAUACAGGUAUUCUUCAGUGCCAAUUGAACCCUGACGAUACUGUCCAGAAAUGUCUUUAAAAGAAGCAUAUUUGUCCUCAUCACAUUCAAGAGCAGCACGUAUCUUUUCCACCAGUGAUUUGUUUGCAGUUUGAAUAUCUUCCACAUUUUGCAAAACAUUGCCACUGGGAGGCAUCUUGCGGAUUUGCGUCGAAGAAACAGGAGGGAAAUCUGAAAUGGAUGGCCUCAAUGAUUUGCUCUCGGAAAGAUUUGGGGCCAGUACAGAGUGCCCAAUGCUAUUGGUGUUGCCCAAGUUUCCUGAGGAACCAGUCGAAAGAUGUCCGUGAACUAAUACAGGUCUAGCCUGAGCCUGCACCUGAACAGAACUUGCAUAACUAGACAGUGCAGGCCCACCGGCAGAACUUCGUGAAUUUGAAGAUGCAGGAUUUAAGUUAGGCCUAUAUUGCAAUGAACUACUAGAUGCAUUUCCACGAGUUGGAGCUGGCCAUGCCUGAGCUGGAUUAAGAACGGUUACAUUUCUGUUUUGGCGUCGAAGAUGUGCUGCCAUAGUGUUAUUAGGCAAACCUUCUGAUUCUUGUUUGGUUUUUUGUUGAUUACUGCUGGAAUUCAUAAGAAGAGGGGGAAAGGAAGAUUCUUCCAAAGGCGUGUUCCUGGAACCUUGCCCCAAGGCUUGAAGAUAUCUUGAAGGCUGUUCUGAAUCAAUUGCAGUUAAUGAUUCAAAAGGCUGAAGCAAUGGAUCAAUAUAAUUCACAUCUUCAUGAACAGAAACUAUUUGUGCACUAGAUGAUGACGAUGGAUCAUGAGAUGUGCUUUCUGAGUUAGCUGUCUCCAGACUUGCUUGGAUAGCAAUAGAUAUUUGAUCAUCAUAUUGAUCACGAUGGAAUGUCCUUCCCCUUCCACGGCGAUCUUGUUCAGUACUUCGCCUAUAUCGAAAGCUUGUUGGUAUCUGGAGGGCAGCAUUACGCUUAGCCCGAGACAUACGCCCUCCAUGUUCAAUAGUAUUGUGUCGCUUAAUUUCUGCUUCAGUUUGAAAGACAACAAACUUUUUGGCAAGACAGGCCUCAUCCUCACAUAGGAAAUGCUCUCGGCGGAAGUGAAUCUCAAGGUCAUCAUAGUUCUUGUAGUAUUCAUAUUGUCCAGGAUGCUGCCUUUGGCAUAUAUGACAAGUAUAGUGUUCAGUCGACAUAUGUGAGUACAGCUCAUUAUCUCCAUAGAAUGGUGAUUUGCAAAAUUCACACAUGGGAUGACCCAUGAAUCCACCUCUCUCACUCUCACUACCAUCAACCUCAGAAUCACCUGUGCUUAUAUGCUGAUUCAAUUGUGCUCUAGUGUAAAGUUUUUGUUCACAAAUGAAUACCUAUAACAAUUAAAAGGAGCCACAGAAAAAUUCAGACAACCAAAAAAGAAUAAGGGAAAAAAAAAGUGUGAGGGAUGGGACUUGGCUUCCCACUACAGAAGAAGAAGAAAAAUAAUUACCACUAAUAGUAACAUAUACAAGCUUUAAAACAGUGUCAACAUGCUGAUAUCUCAAUUUGCUCUAAACAUCAAAGCAAUCAAGCAAUAAUGAAAAUUCAAACAAGAAUCCAUAUAUCACAUGAGACUUGAAAGAUAAGGAUUUUACCUUCCUUCCUUCCAAACAAAGACUACACAUAAGCAACCUAUGUCGAUGAAAUAAAUGACCCUUCAAUUGGUCUAUGCUCCUAAACUUUCCCCGACGCUUUGUGCCAUCAUUUGACUCCUUGUCCAUCUUGUCACAUUCACUACAUGAUAGUCUGCACAUGGCCUUUAUCAUCUUGUAAUGGUCCACAUCAUCAAAAAAUGCUUGUGAGUCCUCAUGAUACCAAUAUGACCCAACUCGACCCUCUCUUGGUUCAGAUGGCAAGACUGAAAAGUCAUUAAUCAUCCUUGUAUAAUCUCCUAAAGCCUUGGUGACAAAAAUGACGGGAGACUCAGUCUUGCAGAUGCAGCAGCAACGAUCGCCGCAGAUGAAGCGCAGGCGAACGACGCAGGUAGAGCAGACCUCUCGAUGCCCACAUGCUCCAUAGGCCACCCAUUCGAGGGAAUCCGCGCAGACCGCACAACUAUCAUCCAUGUCUUCUUCUCCGAAAUCAACUUGUAAUUGAUAAAUAGGGGAUCAGAUAGAGAGAAACCGGAGUUUUGUCGGCGAUAGGAGAUCUAGAGUAUACAGAGAAUAAAUAUGAGAAACGAAAGGUCUAUACUCAACAACCAACUAUUAUAUAUUCGGCAAUUUAAAGGG
rnacentral:misc_RNA from 1 species